AGUAGUGUAGGAUAGUGAUUGAGAAUAUUGAACUUGAAAUUAAACAGAUCUGGGUUUAAAUCUCAGCUCUACUA
rnacentral:tRNA from 1 species